rnacentral:rRNA from 1 species
UGGGGAAUUUUCCGCAAUGGGCGAAAGCCUGACGGAGCAAUGCCGCGUGGAGGUAGAAGGCCCACGGGUCGUGAACUUCUUUUCCCGGAGAAGAAGCAGAUGACGGUAU